rnacentral:lncRNA from 1 species
AAUUUCAAAAGGCUCCACCUCCAAAAACCAUCACACUGGCGGUGAGGAUUUCAACAUAUGCAUUGGGAGGGGAGGGAUGCACACAUUUAGUCCAUUGGCCCUUCUCACAAAAACUACAAUUUGCUUGAAUUAAUGCCAUACUCAAGGCCUAUGUCGCAAGGGAUCUGAGAAUACAGAGGAGGCAAGUCAACAAAAGAAGAGUCAGGGGAAGUAUCACAGAUGAAGAGGCAUCUGAGCUCAGUGUUAUGGAAUGAAGGAAAUCAACACUCAGAGAAAAGGGGAAAGCAUGAAUGCAGUCCCCCACUACCACAAAUCAUGCAGUCGAGUUUCGCACUUUUGGGGAAAUCACAGGGGUCAGCACACCCAGAGUGCAAUGGAUAAACCUCGCCCUGGGAAAACCACCUUCGUGAUCAUGUUAUCUCCCCUGCCAGCUUAUUCAGAUGAUGUGAAUACCGGCUAAUUAUUGCAACGAUGUUUGCUUCCAAGCAUUAAAAAAAUUGCCAGUGUUAUGGGCAAGGACUUCAUGACUACAACACCAAAAGCAAUGGCA